GACGAACGCUGGCGGCGUGCCUAAUACAUGCAAGUCGAGCGGAUUGAUACGGAGCUUGCUCCGUUGAUGUCAGCGGCGGACGGGUGAGUAACACGUGGGUAACCUGCCUGGCAGACUGGGAUAACGCUUGGAAACGAGUGCUAAUACCGGAUAGUCUUCCUGAUCGCAUGAUCGGGAAGGGAAAGAGGCUUUCGCCUCACUGUCAGAUGGACCCGCGGCGCAUUAGCUAGUUGGUGAGGUAACGGCUCACCAAGGCGACGAUGCGUAGCCGACCUGGGAGGGUGACCGGCCACACUGGGACUGAGACACGGCCCAGACUCCUACGGGAGGCAGCAGUAGGGAAUCUUCCACAAUGGGCGAAAGCCUGAUGGAGCAACGCCGCGUGAGUGAUGUAGGCCUUUGGGUUGUAAAACUCUGUCUUCUGUGACGAACAAGCCUGUGAGUAAAAUGCUCAGGCCCUGACGGUAACAGAGGAGGAAGCCACGGCUAACUACGUGCCAGCCGCCGCCGUAAGAC
rnacentral:rRNA from 1 species